UACGUAGGGGGCUAGCGUUGUCCGGAAUCAUUGGGCGUAAAGCGCGUGUAGGCGGCCCUGCAAGUCGGAUGUGAAAUCCCACGGCUCAACCGUGGAAGUGCAUUCGAAACUGCAGGGCUAGAGUCCUGGAGAGGAAGGUGGAAUGCUUGGUGUAGAGGUGAAAUUCGUAGAUAUCAAGCGGAACACCGGUGGCGAAGGCGGUCUUCUGGACAGUGACUGACGCUGAGACGCGAAAGCGUGGGGAGCAAACAGG
rnacentral:rRNA from 1 species